rnacentral:lncRNA from 1 species
CCAGAAAAUCUAUUUCAGAAGCUCAGCAAUUCUGUUUUAAUUCUGAACACGGAGACCAACCAGAGAUACUCUAUCUGAAACCUGAUUUCAACCUGUUCUGGUUUUCUGCACAUGCUGGUUGAAGUCAUCUUCUCCUUGUGGAGCCUCACGGAACAUUGCAGAGAAAUGUUGAGAAGACUUGGUCUGCAAGGUAUGUACAU